UACGUAGGUGGCAAGCGUUGUCCGGAUUUAUUGGGUUUAAAGGGUGCGUAGGCGGCUUUGUAAGUCAGUGGUGAAAUAUGGCAGCUCAACUGUCAAGGUGCCAUUGAUACUGCGGAGCUUGAGUACAGAUGAGGUAGGCGGAAUUGACGGUGUAGCGGUGAAAUGCUUAGAUAUCGUCAAGAACACCUAUAGCGAAGGCAGCUUACUAGACUGUAACUGACGCUGAGGCACGAAAGUGUGGGGAUCAAACAGG
rnacentral:rRNA from 1 species